AGAAUUGACCUCAGUUUGGGUUGGGUUCGGGGUGACAUGGACCUACGCAACAGGGACUGGCUGGACUUUACGCAGUAAGUGGUUCUGAAGGCAUGACAGCCGGCGCCCCGAGACAACCAAGAGGUGAAAGGUGCGGGGCCCGACGC
rnacentral:lncRNA from 12 species